rnacentral:lncRNA from 1 species
GAUUCGUGCCAAGUGAAAAAAAUCUAGUGAAGAGAGAGGAGAAAAAGAUGUUUGACAUAAAAAAUAAGGGAAAAAGGACUCCUCCACUAGUGGCAACGAUGCGUUGCCCGAGGCAGCAACGGCACACUGCAGGCUAGCCUACAGACGCAUAGGCCUCUUGCCGUGCGCACAGGCCCUAGGUGCAUAGGGCGCUGCGCGCUCAGGCCUACUGUGCACAGGCCCCAGGCGCACAGGGCCUGUCUGUGCACGAGGUGACGUAUGGACGGCCCGCUUGCGCACGACAGGACACGCGUAGGUCCUGACUCCAUGCAGUGCGCGUUGGGUUCAUGUCUUGUGCGUGCGUGUAUAC